CCUAAUGUAACUGAACACCGCUUCAGCGCUGAAGACUAGUUUCAAAGGGUUUUCAGAUCAAGACUUCACAAAAAUCCCUCGAAAUGUGCAAGCGUGUCUUCUUGAAACUGGGCAACUGCGAGAGAGCAUUCUGCUCGGAGUGAACAGCUGAAAUAUGGAGGAGGAAAUUCGAGACUCACUGGAAUCACUAGAGUCACUACAAACAAAGGAAAGCCCUAAUGCCUUAGCGUUAAAAGACUACACAAAUGACAAAACUAUAUGGAACAAGCAAAAACAUUAACGUUUGACUUUUGCGAUGUCUCUCAAGUAGUUUAGGAAAAAAGGGCUGAAUAAGAACCAACUUGACGAAGUCAGUUUUUGUUUUAUAAAUCUUGAAAGAAGACUUCGAAAAUUGAGAACCAUUUUCAAGGACAUUCCUGUCGCCAAGGAUCUCGUUUCGUGGAAAAUGGGGGAACAGCCACUCUUCAGUGCCAAGGCACAUGUCUUCCAGAUUGAUACAGCCACUAAGCGGAACUGGGUACCUGCCAGCAAGCAUGCUCUUACUGUCUCUUUCUACUACGAUGUCGAUCGGAGUGUUUAUCGCAUCAUCUGUGUGGGAGGCACCAAAGCAAUUAUAAACAGCACCAUCACACCCAACAUGACCUUCACCAGGACAUCGCAGAAGUUUGGCCAGUGGGCAGACAGCCGGGCAAAUGCGGUGUAUGGCCUGGGCUUUGGAUCAGAGCAGCAGCUGCAGCAGUUUUCAGAACAGUUCAAAGAGUACAGAGAAGCGGCUCGUCUUGUCUGCGAGAAAUCCCAGGAGAAGUUCGAGUUGAGCAGCCCCGGUCUAAACAUCGCAGCCCCACAGGUGCUGAGUGAUGAGCGCCAGUCUCCUUCACCUCUCCUGUGCGAGCACGGUCCAGAGGAGGACAAAGUACUCCACAGCAAGAGUUCAGACGUGCAGCUGGCCUCCGACAAGGAGCAUGUCAAGAAGAUCCUCUCCGAAGGUUCCAUAUGCGAAACAAACAUGGAGGCGGAGCUUUGCACUCUCCAGGAGAGCAAUGCCAAGCUGGUGGAGGCCCUCCACGAGGCCAACCACAGCAUCGAGCAGUGGAAGAAGCAGCUUGCCGAGUACCAGGAGGAGACGAAGAAGCUUCAGGAGCAGGUGUCCGAGCUGGAGGCUAAGUGUGGGCGUGCUGCUUCUUCUGAGAAGAGAAAGGAGGAACUGUCCCAGUCCAUAGAAGAGAUGGAGGCCCUUUUGAAGGCUAAGGAUGAAGAAAUUAACAGACUACAGAGCAAGAAGUCAGAUUUUGGGGAAUUGGAGACAGAAAGGGAGGAGGUUAAUAGAAGAAUGCAGGAGCUGAAGGACAAGAAUGCUGAGCUGGUGCAGCAGGUGAAGAAGGCAGAGCAGACCCUGGCCACCUCCCAGGAUGCCCGGCAGCGGGCAGAGCACCAGGUGCAGAAGGUCGUCGAGGCACUAGACCUCAAGCUCUUCGAUCUGAACAACCUGCGGCAGAGCCUGGCCAGCCUUUUAGAUAAAUAGCAGUCAUGGCCACACCAGCCGUGAAGUAUGAACCAUCGGUACAUUGCAGGAGAAAUCUAACCCUCUACUGGAUUCCUCUGUCACAGCGUUAAUAAGUGUCCACACAAAAAUAGGAUGAGGAGAUCAUCAGAACAUUCAUAUCAAGCUGGAUUACCUGCACUUAAGUCACUGAAGCAUCAUGCUUUGGCACAGAGGACUAGGGUCUUUGGCUGCAGCACAUGCAUCUCAGUAUGAAGGUUUUUUGCUUUGGCCAUUUCUCUCCCUUUUUGUAGUGAAAAGCCGAGACCAUGUCUUCAUUACCAUAUGUCUUUGCUUUGUGUCUCCAGUAAUCAGCCCCUGAUGAAUCACUAUCUCAGUUCCUCCUUCAGAUAGUACCUGAACACACACAGAACUGGACUGAAGACUGAAGGGAGACAGAAAGCAGAGGAACAGAUCCAUACAUAGUGAGCCCGAUCCCAGCUGAUACGACAGAUGAGAAUCUUAUGUGAUUGAAUGAUUGCUUUGGUUCUAUGAUUAGACAGUGGCUGUUGUGUUCAGUUUUUUUAUUCUUUAUUUGUUGUUUGACUGGCGUGCUUGAUGCACUUUAUUCCCUUAAAAACACAAUGGUAUUAAAUAAACUGUAUGCCUGUGCAGUUAAAAGAUUUGACUAGGAAGCCACACAUCAUCAGGCUAAAUUCAAAACUAUCUAUAUAUUUAAAUGACACCAGCAUGAUUAGAUUAGGAGAGAUACCUUUAUUGAUGGUACCUCAUGUCUGUUGCUGAUAAUAAUAAGAACUAUUUAGUUAUUCAAAAGAACAGUAGUCACAUUAAUAUUAUAGGUCACAUUGUAGAGAUCAACAGGAUUAAGUUGUAGCAAAUAUGAUGAAGGUAACUACCAUGGUAGUUAUGAAUAUGAAAAAUGGUAGUUUUUUUUUUUUUAUAUAAAACAUUAAAACACAAGCAUAAUCUUAGAGGCUGCUAUAAUGUAUUCUAAGUUUUGCUAGAAAUGUUGGACUGUUUUUUUUUUUUUUUUUAAUUUUUUAUAUGCCUUAUAAGGAGAUAUCUGUAGAAUUGUAGUUAUGAGCACAUUUUUGAACCUGCGAUUUGGGUCAGCUUCUGAAAAGAUCCUUUAGAAUGGAAGCAAAGCAUGGCUGCAAACCAGAUUGGCUAGUUUUCUUUAAACUCCUGUUCACAUCUGACUGUAGCGAUUUUAACAUUUUUAGAUUCAAUUGUUUACAUUAGGUAUUACAUUACACGCUACCGUUCUAACCACUACAAUUAAGAAAUGGGUAUUUUGAAUUCAGUUCAAACCUUCAGUUUCUUAAUGAUGGAUUAUUUGCUCAUUGGGGUAAAAUGGUGCUAUUGCAAAAAACCAAACCAACCACACACACAAAAAAGACUUCAGUAGCAAGCACACACUAAAGUAAAUGCGCUGUCUCAUCUUAAGAGAAACUUUGAAGAACUGUGUAAGGUUCUUUUCCUCACAACACCAGUUGCUUAUCAACCUUGUCCGGUGGACAAACUACUCCAGGCAAGGCUGAGGACUGCUGAUAACGGAGUCAUGGGAGCUGAGAGGAGGAAAGCUUAAUGAGCAGCUAUGACCAGGAUCGUUGCAUUCAUGUGCUUUUUUACAGAAUAUUCAAACAUGUAGUUGAUUUUUGUAUAGAUUUAUAAUUAAGGAUACUGCUUUGCCCCUUUCUGAGGACAAAUGUGUGCCCAUCUGUGCUUGUGGGACUGCAGUUCAGCUUCUCAAGUGUGAACAUGUUGAAUCUAAAAAUAAAAUUGCCCAUGCAUGCAUAAUGCACACUCCAAUCAUGAAUACUUGAGCUGGUAAAGCCUCGAUCUUGAUUAAAAACGUUGUUUUUGAUUAAAAAGUCAGUCAAUUUUACAUUUUUUGUUCAUCGUAAUGCUCCUUUGCUUAUGGAUAUGUUCCUUUUCAAGACCAUUUCACCGGUAAAGGAGGGGAAGGAAAGGUGUCCCGAUACUGCACGAGGACUGUUGCAUUUUUACACUUGCGACAUGGAAGAUUAUAAACAUUGGUUACUUAUGAUGCAAUUACAAACUUUGAUACCAGUCAUUAUGCAACUAUAACUAGAACUUGUUACAACUUAUUAUAGUAUUAUAUCACAUCAUCCUGUUGUAACCGCUGUGUUCACAGUAGUCCAGCAAAUUUCCAUGUACCCUGCUGCUGAUGGGAGGUUAUAAAGUUAGUUGUCAGCAAAGAUCAAAUAUCGAGCUAACACUGAGGUAACUGGGUUCAGACUUUUACCAACAUAUUGAAUGAUAUUUUUAUAUCUGGUCCCUGUCUUGAAAAUGUUUUCUGUAUGCUGUUGUGGAAAAUGCAUUAAUAAUGACAUAAUUGAUGUAUACAUUUACAAUAUGUCACAUGUAAUUGAACUGGAUUCCUAUAUGAAGACAAACUGAUUGAGAGCAAAGGAUUGUUUAUUAUAUUAAGCCUAUGGUAUCUUUUAUUAAGGGGAGUAGGUCACACAAUCUUAAGAAACGGACUUCCAAACAGACAAAAAUCUGAAGCGAAGUUCAUAGCACAGGCUAAUUAUUUCAGAUUAGACUACACUCUAGAGUUUUGCCUUUAUUCUGAAAAAUGAUAAAUAGCAAAUUUAUAGUAAGGUGAAAGUGAGCUUUUUUUUUUUGUAUUUGAUAGAAAGGCACUUGGAAACUGUAAAUUAAUGUGAAUUUCCACACUCUAUUUAUUCCAGAAAAUGAGAGAUUAAGAAGACAUUUUGUUGUGGUUGUUAAGGGAAACCAUAAAUAAUUAAUGUCCAAACAACCAACCGCAAUUCCUUGUCUGUUGACUAAGGUGAUGUUACAUCUGGGUGGACACAGUGCAAGGGCAGCAGCUGAUCACCGUAAAGCGAGAGGUCAAUGGGUGCAGCGGUAGCCUAACUAAAAUACUUGACCAAGAAACCAGGAGAAUCCAGGCCUAGUUGUCUGGAGGCUUUCGAAAUGGCUACCACUGAAUGUGGACACAUUUCUUCAGCCUCCACUGGGAGUGAACAUUUCACGGUUGACCCAUGUCCCAUUAUGGGUUGGAUGCCAGAGAUAUGGGCCUGAAAAGACAUAUGAAACAACUUUCCAGAAAGAUUUCCAGUCAUUUCCCUCGCUACCAAAAGGUGCUGCUGUUCCUCUCCCUGCCAUGGCAGAAGUGGAGAGAGAGACCACAGAGACCUUCAGCGGAUCAAGGAAUACCAGACAGAGGUGGCCAGGUCCUUCCCUUCACAACCCACUGUGCCACUCGGUCGCAUCCCAGCAUGGACCAAGCUUGUCACCAACUUGAAAAUGCAUUCAGACCAGCGCUUGCAGGACUUCCAUAACGUUCAUUCAAAGAGAGUGUCCAGCAUCCGCCUGCAUGGUCUGCUUGCUCCAGGCCUGAUUGUUCUGCCCUGGCCAUCAAAGUGAAGCAGCGUGAGCAGAAACUUCCCAAUAGCACUCACAGAGAAUCGUAUGUCGCCCACGAUGUCUCCGCGGUCACUAAGGCGAAGAUGACGCAUCUCGGUGGAGGAGCCCCAGCUACCAUAGGCAACAAUAAGAUCACUUCCCUGAGCUCCGGUUAUAACGACACCUUCCUGUACAGAGAGAGCUCCCCUGCACGUUCUAUGGAGAAGCAAAUCCACUCGUCCUUGGCAAUAGGAGACAGAGAAAAUUCAAGAAACCGAAACAACUCACACAGCCUCGUUCAAACAUACAGGUGUCCAGAGUCCCCCAUCACUGAAGAAAUGCUUACAUCUCAAUCUUGGGGACUUUCGAGAUAUGAAGUGGACCACAACAACUUCAGAUGCCUUUAAUGAAAUAAAGUCUGGUUUGUCUAAUUACAUACAUACAUUUUGAUCUCUCAAGUAGGCAAUGUUUACUUUAAAAUGGCAGAAUCCUCCGUUAAGCAAAAUCAAGUCCAGUAUCUCCGAAACAAUUAGGCUUUUAGCCAGUGAAGCCCAGUCUCAUAAAAACGUUUUCUAAUGGACUGGAGUAACAGGCUUUAUGGUCUGCCUGCUAUUCACAUUGUCCCACACCACUGGGGCUACCAGGUCUUGGCCAGAAGGUGGCAGAAUUCUAGUCUUGACCUCAACAUGAGAAUUUCCAGAGCUUUUUACCUUGUACUCCAUAUUACUUUUCAGCAAUAUUUACAGUCAGUAUGUAAAUCACAUUUUAUUUUGCC